AUGGUUGUGAAGGGCAUCAAGGAGAUUGGGCAUAGUGAUGGAAAUGCAUUGCUCGAGCUACUUCUCACAUAUAAGGCACUUGAAGAUGAUGAUGAUCUUGAUUUUGAGAAUCCGGAUGGCGAUGACGAUGCUGGUGAUACAGAGACCGACUCUAAUGGUUCUAGUGAUGAGGUCGAUAAUUCCUUUUCUCUAUUUUAG
rnacentral:rRNA from 1 species